UACGUAGGGAGCAAGCGUUGUCCGGAAUCAUUGGGCGUAAAGCGCGCGUAGGCGGCCUCAUAAGUCCGUUGUGAAAGUCAAAGGCUCAACCUUUGAAAGCCGAUGGAUACUGUGAGGCUAGAGUCCGGAAGAGGCGAGUGGAAUUCCUGGUGUAGCGGUGGAAUGCGCAGAUAUCAGGAGGAACGACCAACUAGCGAAGGCAGCUCGCUGGGACGGUACUGACGCUAAGGCGCGAAAGCGUGGGGCGAACAGG
rnacentral:rRNA from 1 species